GAUGAAGAACGCAGCGAAAUGCGAUACUUGGUGUGAAUUGCAGAAUCCCGUGAACCAUCGAGUCUUUGAACGCAAGUUGCGCCCGAAGCCAUUAGGCCGAGGGCACGCCUGCCUGGGCGUCACACGUCGUUGCCCCCCCAUCUACUCCUUCGGGAUUGCGGGGGGCGGAUGAUGGCCUCCCGUGCGCCUCGUCGCGCGGUUGGCAUAAAUGCCAAGUCCUCGGCGACGCACGCCACGACAAUCGGUGGUUGCGAAACCUCGGUUGCCCGUCGUGUGCCGUCGUCGCGCAUCGAGGGCUCGAAAAAAUUGCCGGGCUCCGGCUCGGCUUUCAACGCGACCCCAGGUCAGGCGGGGUUACCCGCUGAAUUUAAGCAUAUCAAUAAGCGGAGGA
rnacentral:misc_RNA from 1 species